AGUAAAAUAUUUUAUCAAAAGAAUAUUAAUUUUGAAAAUUAAAGGAAAUUUUUUUUUUACUG
rnacentral:tRNA from 1 species